CCCCGAUCCAGGGAGCACAGUGAGGAGGUCCUCCUCAGGUGGCGGACCCCGCCUGGGCCCUGAUCCAGGGAGCACAGUGAGGAGGUCCUCCUCAGGUGGAGGACCCCGCCUGGGCCCUGAUCCAGGGAGCACAGUGAGGAGAUCCUCCUCAGGUGGCGGACCCCGCCUGGGUCCCGAUCCAGGGAGCUCAGUGAGGAGAUCCUCCUCAGGUGGCGGACCCCGCCUGGGUCCCGAUCCAGGGAGCACAGUGAGGAGGUCCUCCUCAGGUGGCGGACCCCGCCUGGGUCCCGAUCCAGGGAGCACAGUGAGGAGGCCCUCCUCAGGUGGCGGACCCCGCCUGGGUCCCGAUCCAGG
ensembl:lncRNA